AUUGAACGCUGGCGGCAGGCCUAACACAUGCAAGUCGAACGGUAACAGGAAGAAGCUUGCUUCUUUGCUGACGAGUGGCGGACGGGUGAGUAAUGUCUGGGAAACUGCCUGAUGGAGGGGGAUAACUACUGGAAACGGUAGCUAAUACCGCAUAACGUCGCAAGACCAAGGAGGGGGACCUUCGGGCCUCUUGCCAUCGGAUGUGCCCAGAUGGGAUUAGCUAGUAGGUGGGGUAACGGCUCACCUAGGCGACGAUCCCUAGCUGGUCUGAGAGGAUGACCAGCCACACUGGAACUGAGACACGGUCCAGACUCCUACGGGAGGCAGCAGUGGGGAAUAUUGCACAAUGGGCGCAAGCCUGAUGCAGCCAUGCCGCGUGUAUGAAGAAGGCCUUCGGGUGUAAAGUACUUUCAGCGGGGAGGAAGGGAGUAAAGUUAAUACCUUUGCUCAUUGACGUUACCCGCAGAAGAAGCACCGGCUAACUCCGUG
rnacentral:rRNA from 1 species